UACGUAGGGGGCUAGCGUUGUCCGGAAUCAUUGGGCGUAAAGCGCGUGUAGGCGGCCCGGUAAGUCCGCUGUGAAAGUCGGGGGCUCAACCCUCGGAUGCCGGUGGAUACUGUCGGGCUUGAGUACGGAAGAGGCGAGUGGAAUUCCUGGUGUAGCGGUGAAAUGCGCAGAUAUCAGGAGGAACACCUGAGGUGAAGACGGGUUGCUGGGCUGACACUGACGCUGAGGCGCGAAAGCUAGGGUAGCAAACGGG
rnacentral:rRNA from 1 species